CUGUAAGAUAUUGGUAAAAUAGACAAAUAGUCCAUAGAAUAGUCAAUUGAAGAGGACGGAUGGUUAACUUAGUUAUUAAAAGUUAUUAAUUAUAGGAUUAUAAUUAGAAUCUGGGAAUAAAGACUAAGUAUAUAGGAGUUGUAGAAGUUAGUCUGAGUACCAGAUUGUGAUAGUCAUGAACCAAGAUAAGCUUGGUCUUUCCUCUUUGUUUCUUUGUUUCUUUGUUGUUGAAAAAUAAUGUAUAGUUUCUGAAUAUUGAGAAGUGAGUCUGUGAUGUAAGUCAGAGAUUGAUUUAUGAGUUAUUAAUUAUAUAAUUGGAGCACUGAGUGAUUGAAUUAUAUAAAGAAUUAUUAGAAUAUUAUGAUUGUUGUUUAUUGAGAGUUGUGUGUGUUUCGACAGAGGAAGUCUGUGAUUACAAAAAUUAUGUGAAUUCAAAUUGGUUGGAGUGAAGUCUAUUAUUUUUGGUGUUACAUGAAAUUAUUAUAUUUUGAGCAGUCUUUUGAGAGUGCAUGGUUGCACACUAUUUUUAAUAGUUGAUG
rnacentral:lncRNA from 1 species